rnacentral:rRNA from 1 species
GAUACGUUCCCCGGGUCGGAAGAUCUGGGGAGGAAAGGUGGCGCAAGCUGCCGCUCUUGGAGGGGCUCGCGGCCUAUCAGCUAGUUGGCGGGGUAACGGCCCACCAAGGCUAUGACGGGUAGCUGGUCUGAGAGGACGACCAGCCACACGGGGACUGAGACACGGCCCCGACUCCUACGGGAGGCAGCAGUGGGGAAUUUUCCGCAAUGGGCGAAAGCCUGACGGAGUGACGCCGCGUGUGGGACGAAGGCCUUCGGGUCGUAAACCACUGUCAGUGGGAAAGAUGGGUGUCGGCGCUAAUACCGCCGGCAUCUGACGGUACCUGCAGAGGAAGCCCCGGCCAACUCUGUGCCAGCAGCCGCGGUAAGACAGAGGGGGCAAGCGUUGCUCGGAAUUACUGGGCGUAAAGGGCGCGUAGGCGGGAUGGCAAGUCGGUCGUGAAAUCCCUCGGCUCAACUGAGGAAUGUCGAUCGAUACUGCUGUUCUUGAGGAUUGCAGAGGAGACUGGAAUUCCCGGUGUAGCGGUGAAAUGUGUAGAGAUCGGGAGGAACACCGGUGGCGAAGGCGGGUCUCUGGGCAAUUCCUGACGCUGAGGCGCGAAAGCGUGGGGAGCAAACGGGAUUAGAUACCCCGGUAGUCCACGCUGUAAACGAUGAGCACUAGGUGUGGGGGGGUUCAGUCCCCUCCGUGCCGCAGCUAACGCAUUAAGUGCUCCGCCUGGGGAGUACGGCCGCAAGGUUGAAACUCAAAGGAAUUGACGG